GACGAAUGCUGGCUGCGUGCUUAACACAUGCAAGUCGAACGGUGAAGGAGGGCUUGCCCUCCGGAUCAGUGGCGAACGGGUGAGUAACACGUGGGCAACCUGCCCCUCACUCUGGGAUAACGCCGGGAAACCGGCGCUAAUACCGGAUACGACCAGGCGCCACAUCUCGCCUGGCGGAAAGAAUUUCGGUGAGGGAUGGGCCCGCGGCCUAUCAGCUAGUUGGUGGGGUAACGGCCCACCAAGGCGACGACGGGUAGCCGGCCUGAGAGGGCGACCGGCCACACUGGGACUGAGACACGGCCCAGACUCCUACGGGAGGCAGCAGUGGGGAAUAUUGCGCAAUGGGCGAAAGCCUGACGCAGCGACGCAGCGUGAGGGUCGAAGGCCUUCGGGUUGUAAACCUCUUUCAGCGGGGACGAAGCGAAAGUGACGGUACCCGCAGAAGAAGCACCGGCUAACUACGUGCCAGCCGCCGCAGUAACAC
rnacentral:rRNA from 1 species